CUCGAUUUGAGCGGAUCGACAAAACGCCGAUCCCGGAGGGCAGGGAAGCGGCGGAAGCAGGCAGCAGUCGACAGGUCACUCGUCAACCUCGAGGAGCCGCGUCUCGUGACCGUGUUGGGCGCAAAAGUUAGUUGAGAGCCAGCGGCGUAAACAACAGCCCAUUUUCUCUUGAACAGGGACUUGCAGUGCAGCUGCCCAGGAUGGGAAUGAGCACAUGCCGACGGGAUACGACGUCUACGCCUGGUCUGCUGGUUUAACACUAUAUGAUCUAUGCCAUCACGAGCCGGGUGACGUAGUGUGAUGCUUCCCUGUCCUGGAUCACCGCCCGGAUCUCUACUGUAUUGCGCUCUGCUGCGCCGGCGCGGGGCCACGCGCUUGUCACCACUGGAGCUGGACUCAGGUUCAGCCAUUCGGGAGAUUUUGUCACUCACUCCGCUACAGCAACGAGGCACAGGUGCCUGCCACUGUUGGAACCUGGACGGAAACGUGACCGUGAUACUCACGCGAGUUCACUAAUCACCUUUCCGAUGUGAGGAUGUGCACGAUAAUAUUACUGCGUAGUAGUGCAUGCUGCUCCGUGAAUUUCUUCUGUGGACACGGCGCUCAUUCACCUUGCCGGUUGCAGUUACCACCAGGUUAUACCGCUUAGCGAUUGUCAUCGACGGCUGGCUCUCUGGCGUGGGGCAGUCAGAACUCCAUAGAACUGGAUCGACGGGAGCACAGGUAUAUCGACGGUUUACGCGCACGCGCUAUCAUCAGUCCCCUGCUGAGUUUUCCGCCAGUAACGCCCCAAAGUACUCUCCCUUAGGAGGUGAGGCGAAGUCGACAGGGCAUGCAAGUGAGGUCUUCUCCGCUUGGACAGAUGUUGACAGUUUCUGGUCCAUGUUGUCAAGCACAUUGAUAGCGCACACAUGGCCUUUAUCGCUGAUCCGAAUCUCUCGUUUUUCUCUAUCUCCAUCCAUUCUUUCACAGUCGAUGGCCUGCGCAGUUGCACAAUUUCCCCUUUCCUGUACUGGAAGCAUAAUGAAAGGAAUGGAUGAAAACAAGGGCUCAUGCAUACGCUUGCUUGGCCUCCCCUACACGGAAGAUGCACACGGUCUAACGAAUCAACCGAACCACAGAAGCCUUCAGUUGAAUCUCCUGGCCGGGCCCGAAAGUGAUGCUGCCUGCGUGCUGACCGACAUUAUAUACCGGGGAACGACUAAAAUCAUCAGGUUCGCUUCAUGAUGAAGUUGCGAGGAUCCACGGGUUCGGCAUGGUGUUUUCAAACAAUGCCAGAACUGAGACAGAACAAGGCGAUUUACUAACAGAUACUCUCAUGCUGUUACCUUGCCCACCCGAUCAAGCUCUCGAGUUUUUCCGUAAGCUGCGCCACUCCAUGCGAACAGGAAGUGAGGACGAUACAGGCUCUGGUAUGGUGCAGAGUGUGCUACGGUCGCUUUUUGGCCGCUGCCGUGAAUGCACCGAACUUGAGUCGAUGGUAGACCGUCUCCACAUAGUCAGAUUGAAGAGGGUUGGUAUACUAGGCAGGACACGGUCUGGAUGAAUCGAAGACGUAUGACGAGCUCCAGAGUGUUUUGAGGGUGUUCCAAAUACGUCCCCUGAUCGCUGUUAGUCACUCGAAAAGUUGACUUAAAUCCAGGAUCCACC
rnacentral:lncRNA from 1 species